rnacentral:tRNA from 1 species
GGAUUCAUAGCUCAGCGGUAGAGCAAUCGGCUGCAGUCCGAUCGGUCCCCGGUUCAAUUCCGGGUGGGUCCU